rnacentral:sRNA from 1 species
GUGCGUCCUGCCAACACCCUGGGCCCCAGGUCCCAUCCCUGCUGUCAGUGCCUAUCCGGGGCCAUAUGCUCCCCCAGGCCCCCCAAAGGAAGGGCUGGGCCAGAUAGGUUGACGCAGCUCCCACCCGCAGAACUUGGCGAGCUACGACGUCUGCAGCAUCCUCCUGGGCACCUCGACGCUGCUGGUGUGGGUGGGCGUGAUCCGCUACCUGACCUUCUUCCACAACUACAAUAUCCUCAUCGCCACACUGCGGGUGGCUCUGCCCAGCGUCAUGCGCUUCUGCUGCUGCGUGGCUGUCAUCUACCUGGGCUACUGCUUCUGUGGCUGGAUCGUGCUGGGGCCCUAUCAUGUGAAGUUCCGCUCGCUCUCCAUGGUGUCUGAGUGCCUGUUCUCGCUCAUCAACGGGGACGACAUGUUCGUGACGUUCGCCGCCAUGCAGGCGCAGCAGGGCCGCAGCAGCCUGGUGUGGC